AGCGAACGCUGGCGGCAGGCUUAACACAUGCAAGUCGAGCGGGCACUUUCGGGUGUCAGCGGCGGACGGGUGAGUAACGCGUGGGAACGUGCCCUCUGGUUCGGAAUAACUCAGGGAAACUUGAGCUAAUACCGGAUACGCCCUUUUGGGGAAAGGCUUGCUGCCGGAGGAUCGGCCCGCGUCUGAUUAGCUAGUUGGUGAGGUAACGGCUCACCAAGGCGACGAUCAGUAGCUGGUCUGAGAGGAUGAUCAGCCACACUGGGACUGAGACACGGCCCAGACUCCUACGGGAGGCAGCAGGGGGGAAUAUUGGACAAUGGGCGCAAGCCUGAUCCAGCCAUGCCGCGUGAGUGAUGAAGGCCUUAGGGUUGUAAAGCUCUUUUAUCCGGGACGAUAAUGACGGUACCGGAGGAAUAAGCCCCGGCUAACUUCGUG
rnacentral:rRNA from 1 species